ensembl:rRNA 5S_rRNA 5S ribosomal RNA
UGCCACAGCCAUAUCCCCCUGCAGCCCAUGACCGGUUACUCACUGAAGCUAAGCAGGGCUGAGUCUUGUCAGUACCUGGAUGGGCGACCAUGAGAAAACUAGGUGGCUGUUGGAA